rnacentral:rRNA from 1 species
CGGAGGGAUCAUUAAAGAGUUGCAAAACUCCCAAACCAUAUGUUUAUCUACCUGUUUCGUUGCUUCGGCAGGUUGCGCCCUCCGGGGCCGCCUGCCGGAGUAUCCAAAACUCUUGUUAAUUACUGUUCUGUCUGAGUAAACUUUUAAUAGUUAAAACUUUCAACAACGGAUCUCUUGGUUCUGGCAUCGAUGAAGAACGCAGCGAAAUGCGAUAAGUAAUGUGAAUUGCAGAAUUCAGUGAAUCAUCGAAUCUUUGAACGCACAUUGCGCCCAUUAGUAUUCUAGUGGGCAUGCCUGUUCGAGCGUCAUUUCAACCCUCAAGCACUGCUUGGUGUUGGGGCGUCUGCAGCUCCGGCUGCAGGCCCUGAAAAACAGUGGCGGGCUCGCUAUAACUCCGAGCGUAGUAAUCUCUCUCGCUUUGGAAGUGUGGCGGUUCCCGGCCGUUAAACCCCCCAAUUUCUGAAUGUUGACCUCGGAUCAGGUAGGAAUACCCGCUGAACUUAAGCAUA